CCUUUAUAAUCGAGGCACUCUUCGGGGAGUAGCCGCUCCGGACGCGAUGUCCGGGGGCAUACGUCAACAUACUUGUCGGCCUGACGGCGACAUGGCGUGUGCAGCGCAAGCCUGGCAAGACCGAUGACGUGCAUCCCUACCUGACCGGGUCGCAGGGGUGCGUGUCAUCGCGUGUUGACUGCGCGGCCCGGU
rnacentral:sRNA from 2 species